rnacentral:lncRNA from 1 species
AUGAGGUGCUUGCUGCUUUUACUAGCAACAGAAAUGCCUUGCAAAAGCAAUCAGGCUCAUGGUUCACUGACCUCAAUGAUAUUCUGACAGUCUUAACUCUGGAUCGAGGACUAAAAGAACAGCUAAUGGAAAAUAUGUAAUAGCUUAGUGAAUUAUGCAGUUCAGGAUAAGUUGGAGAUAAGGGGUAGAUAUACCAUUGAAACAGAAGAAGAUAAAAAGAGGAAGAAUAUAAUAUUACGUAUGCCUGCUGAUACUGCUUACUCGGUUAGAAAAGAUUAUAAAAUUCAUAAAAUAAAGGAUAUUGGAAUUCUGACACUGGUACUUCAUAGUUAAGUUUUGUAGGACAAAACUUGUACAUGAUAAUUUGCUUUUGUCAGUAUCAAAAACCAGAAAAAGGAUUCACUGAGAGGUCACUGGUUGCAGGACUAGAAACC